rnacentral:rRNA from 1 species
AGUGAACGCUGGCGGUAGGCCUAACACAUGCAAGUCGAACGGCAGCACAGUAAGAGCUUGCUCUUACGGGUGGCGAGUGGCGGACGGGUGAGGAAUACAUCGGAAUCUACUUUUUCGUGGGGGAUAACGUAGGGAAACUUACGCUAAUACCGCAUACGACCUACGGGUGAAAGCAGGGGAUCUUCGGACCUUGCGCGAUUGAAUGAGCCGAUGUCGGAUUAGCUAGUUGGCGGGGUAAAGGCCCACCAAGGCGACGAUCCGUAGCUGGUCUGAGAGGAUGAUCAGCCACACUGGAACUGAGACACGGUCCAGACUCCUACGGGAGGCAGCAGUGGGGAAUAUUGGACAAUGGGCGUAAGCCUGAUCCAGCCAUACCGCGUGGGUGAAGAAGGCCUUCGGGUUGUAAAGCCCUUUUGUUGGGAAAGAAAAUCAGCAGGUUAAUACCCCGCUGUUCUGACGGUACCCAAAGAAUAAGCACCGGCUAACUUCGUG